rnacentral:rRNA from 1 species
UGGGAAGAACACCAGUGGCGAAGGCGCUCUACUGGGCCGUAACUGACGCUGAGGGACGAAAGCUAGGGGAGCGAAAAGGGAUUAGAUACCCCUGUAGUCCUAGCUGUAAACGAUGGAUACUAGGUGUUGGACGUAUCGACCCGUUCAGUACCGCAGCCAACGCGAUAAGUAUCCCGCCUGGGGAGUACGCACGCAAGUGUGAAACUCAAAGGAAUUGACGGGGGCCCGCACAAGCAGUGGAGUAUGUGGUUUAAUUCGAUGCAACGCGAAGAACCUUACCAGGGCUUGACAUCCCUCGAAUCCUCUUGAAAGAGAGGAGUGCCUUCGGGAGCGAGGAGACAGGUGGUGCAUGGCUGUCGUCAGCUCGUGUCGUGAGAUGUUGGGUUAAGUCCCGCAACGAGCGCAACCCACGUCCUUAGUUGCCAUCAUUAAGUUGGGCACUCUGGGGAGACUGCCGGGGACAACUCGGAGGAAGGUGUGGAUGACGUCAAGUCAUCAUGCCCCUUACGUUCUGGGCUACACACGUACUACAAUGCUUCGGACAAAGAGCAGCCAACUAGCGAUAGUGAGCUAAUCUCAUAAACCGAGGCACAGUUCAGAUUGCAGGCUGCAACUCGCCUGCAUGAAGGAGGAAUCGCUAGUAAUCGCCGGUCAGCAUACGGCGGUGAAUACGUUCCCGGGCCUUGUACACACCGCCCGUCACACCAUGGGAGUUGGCCACGCCC